AUGAUGCCACAGAAGUAUGGUAUAACUCCAAGGAUGGAGCACUAUAUCAGCAUGGUUGAUAUUUUGGCGAGAGGGGGUAUCCAGAGCAUGCGAAUGAAAGCAGACGUUCGUGUAUGGGGAGCUUUGCUUGCAGCUUGCCGGGUUCAUAAGAACAUCGAUUUGGGAAAGCAACUGGCUAGGAUUAUGAAGAAACUAGGACAUGAGGGGACUGGCAACUUUGUUCUGCUGUCCAACAUAUUCAGUGCCGCUGGGAGGUUCGAUGAGGCAGUAGAAGUUCGAAUAAUACAGAAGGAGAAGGGGUUCAAGAAGAGCCCUGGCUGCAGUUGGAUGUCUAGAGUCUGGUUCAUGACCUCUCAGUUUUGUCUUAUAUCAGUCAUUCAGCUUGCAUGUCUUGAACAGCGGAGCAUUUAG
rnacentral:rRNA from 1 species